AUCGCUUCUGAGGCUUUUGGUUAAGAUCAAGUGUAGUGGCUGUUCUUAUCAGUUUAAUAAUUUGGCUGAAUAAUAAUUUAAUAACAAUAUUAACAAUUAACAAUAC
ensembl:snRNA U2 U2 spliceosomal RNA